AUGCACAACCUGUGCCUCGGAGCAGCAGCCCCACGCCUUCUCGCUCUGCCUCCAUGUCAGGCAGGUUGUGAGAUAUGUUCGUGUGCCCUGUUCUGCUUGCAUCACCUCGCGGCUCACAAGGAAGGAGAGGGAGGCCCGGACACUCGGGUGCGGUGCGUGUCACGCAGCCAGCGCUGCAGCAGCGGGGCUUGCGGUUCCGCUUGGCCCAGUGCAGGGCGCUGGAUUUGCUGGGGAGGGGCAGCGAGAGAGGCGGGCGCUUGCGUUCCCACCCCCUGCCCGCCUGAGCGAGCGCGGGGCGGUGGUGUGCGCGCGCUCUCCCCGCCCCCUGGCUCCCGGCUCAGCGCAGCUGUCGCUGUGCAGGCGGAGGGGUCAGGCAGGCUGCGGAUUCCUCCAGUCACUCCCUUUCGCUCCAGCCACUGCCCGGAGCUGCCAGCUCCGGCCACCGCUGCUGCAUCUCCCCCCCAAUCACCGCUGCGGAGCGGAGCCCUGAGCUUCCCGGGACGGGAGCGGCUCCCCAGCCAGGAGAGAGCUGUUUAAGGAGAAGCUGAUGCCAAGGAUAGGUUAAGAAGGUUCAAGAUGACAACAACAGUAGCGACAGACUAUGACAAUAUUGAAAUCCAACAGCAAUACAGUGAUGUGAAUAACCGCUGGGAUGUCGAUGACUGGGACAAUGAAAAUAGUUCUGCACGACUGUUUGAGCGAUCCCGUAUUAAGGCUCUAGCUGGUAAGCAUUCAAGUGAUGAGAACUCAGUGCAAGUAGGUAACAAAAAAAGAUUUCCAUUCAGUAGAAAUCUGAUGUGAUACGAGUGAAUUAUUGCUUGAUGUGAUACCCCAAGGUUUUUAAAAUAUUCCUCCUUGAAUUUUGCAUGUAUUUGCCCCUGUUAAAAACAUUAUAUUGUCAGCCUGAAAGCACCAAAGCCCAAGACUCAAAACUCUAAUAUAAUUGAGUAAAAGACCUUAUUUAUUUAAUAUGUAGUGUUUUGGGAGGAGAAUACUACCAUUGUAGGGCCUUUAUGACAUGCACUCAGCAGUGGGUCCCACUUGGAACUACAGUUCUUCCUUGCCAUGUAUGAACCCGGUCCAGUGCUUAAUUUUUAAUAAAAGAGAUGCCAGGGCUAAAGCA
rnacentral:lncRNA from 1 species